AAGACACGCACAUUAAAGGCAAAGUUUAUUUUAUUCAAUAGUUCGCGAUCGGACAUCUGCCGCGGCCUUCGAGGAGUCUUUAAGAAAACGCCUGCAUAAAGGACAAUUGGAAACUCAAAACAUCUACAAGGGAUGCUACCAGUUCUGACGAGAAUGGCUGAUGGUCAAAUUUUAAUAUGCUCAGCGAUACAGCCCCAAUUAGACGACCAAUGUAUUCGCAGAAAAUUACCAAGAAGAUAUGUACCGAAAAACGGCGGAAGAUCUUUUCGGAAAAAGUCGAGACUGGAGAUCGUGACAGUUUCUUACGAAACCUACGAGCGCUGUUUGUCACUCCCAGCUACAAUCUUGGCCCCGUUUUAAAUUAUCGGCGUUUACAAAAACAACGAUUUCUUAUAAAAAUAAUGUUUUGGAAUG